UACGAAGGGGGCGAGCGUUGUUCGGAUUUACUGGGCGUAAAGGGCGCGCAGGCGGCCGCUCAAGUCAGGCGUGAAAGCCCCGGGCUUAACCUGGGAACUGCGUCUGGGACUGAGUGGCUAGAGUUCGGGAGAGGAGAGUGGAAUUCCCAGUGUAGAGGUGAAAUUCGUAGAUAUUCGGAAGAACACCAGUGGCGAAGGCGGCUCACUGGCCCGGUACUGACGCUGAUGUGCGAAAGCGUGGGGAGCAAACAGG
rnacentral:rRNA from 1 species